UACGUAGGAUCCGAGCGUUAUCCGGAGUGACUGGGCGUAAAGAGUUGCGUAGGCGGACAAGUUAGCGAAUAGUGAAAUCAGGUGGCUCAACCAUACUGGCUAUUAUCCGAACUGCUUGUCUCGAGAGUAGUAGAGGUACCUGGAAUUCCCUGUGUAGCGGUGAAAUGCGUAGAUAUAGGGAGGAACACCAAUGGCGUAGGCAGGGUACUGGACUAUUUCUGACGCUGAGGCACGAAAGCGUGGGGAGCGAACCGG
rnacentral:misc_RNA from 1 species